AUCUAGGCAUAGCAGAAACAAUGCCUUGAUCAUGAAGUUAGUUUCCCCAUGGUAAUGCUUGGUCUUUGCACUCCAGUUGUACUGACCCCUGCAGUGCCCCCAAAUGUGGGAAAGUCAACUGCAUAAUUUCUGCUAGUGGGAGACUGUUCACUCUCUUU
rnacentral:snRNA from 1 species